UGCCCCGUGGCUGAGUUGGUUACAGCGUCCGACUGUUAUCUAUCUACUUCGACGUCGGUGGCAAUCGGAAGGUCGAGAGUUCGAGCCUCUCCGGGGCAG